rnacentral:lncRNA from 1 species
CUGUGGAGUUGAGCUGAGUUUUCAGCAACUUCACAAAAAGAGCAGUUUGAAGUUGCAGUUUCCAUCUGCCCACAUAACUCUCAGUAAGUGCAUUGAGGGCAUCCACUGACGUGCAGUUAUGCAGGACCUGGAGUUUAUCUAUGAGCAGCAGGUGGUAGAGCAGCUGCAGACAUGAGCAGGGCCAUGCAACAGGCAGUUCCUGUAGCUUUCCUUGGUGCCUUCGCUGCAUUUUAGCAGAGCCACAGUGCCAGUGUUGCAGAAGUCUGUAUUGCAGAAUGCAUUUUUAGGAGGGAAAUUAAGAGAGGGGAGGAGGGCUACCAGCUCCCAUGUGUAUGGGAACUGAUGGGUCAUGGCCUGAAAUACUCAUUGAGCACCAGAAGAAAAGCCCAGAGAGCACAGGUGAAGGUAAUAGAGCCACACUCUACUCCUCUUAAACUUCAUUUAAGAGCUGACUGCCACAGAGGAAGGUUUUCUUGCUGGAGAUCUCUUCUUUGUAGAGUUUUUUUGUUUUGUUUGUUUGUUUUAAUAUGAGCCUAGAUCUUCAGAGAUGGAUGAGCAUCCUUCUGUUUGUAACAUCUUUCCAUUACAUUGGUCCUGGUGCUGUUACACACAUGCCAGUAGGCAGAGGGACAGGUGAAGGCAGGAAUCCCUCUUGCUGCUGCAAGGCAUUGAGGCUAUUGAGAAGUACUGUCUUUUUCUGGUGGCUUGUCCAACAGGUUUCUUUCGUAUUGAUUUCUCAGUUAUCAGAGAAAUACAAUCCACAGAAACCAACCAAAUCCAUAUUGAGGCUGAGGGAGCCCUCCCUGAUAAGUACCCAGCAGACACACACUCUCUUGCUCUGGGUUUCAUCACACUGUGAAGUGGAAGCAGCACUGGACAACCCUGCACGGAGCAGCCCUGCAUCAGCCCCUGGAAACCAAAACCUCUUGUCAGAUUCUGUGGAAAACAUCAGGACAAGCAAAACCAACAUAUACAGAAUUAAAGGUGCUCUGGGCUUUUCUUCAGCUCCAUGA